rnacentral:lncRNA from 1 species
CUGUGGCAAAUGUAUACACAGCCUUAGAAAGACUCCUCUUCUGUAAAGCGUGCAGUAAAUAGGUAGGUACUGGUAAGAUAAUUUAAGAAGUCAUGAUAGUUUAAAGAGGGAAUAUAGCAAACAAUAAUACAUAUUUUUGAAACAUUUUGUUUACAUUUUAAAAAUUGUAUGAAUGUUCAUUUUGUCAAUAUUUUUAUUGCCAAGGUUUUGUCACUGAAUAUCAUCCCUCCUCAACUGGAGUAUCUGUUUUCUUUCUCCCCUAAACAAUGUAAAGGUCAGAAUGCUAGGAGACAAGUGAUUCUGAUUAAGAAAGUUGAGCAAAGUUUUAAAAGGCUGCAGAUUAUAUUACCAUUCCCGGUGAGCAGCAGUCCCCUUUCCUGUAAGGGAAUUACACAUCCACCAUCCUCUCACCGAUACACACCCUCCAACCACAACCCAGAGUUCUGUCCCUCAAGAGGCCUUCUUUUGGGAGAAGCACGUUUGGCAGCUUGCACUACACCCUGACACACUCAUGACAUGGGACAGGAGAUGUCAGAGCUGAAUGAAAGCUUUUUUUUUUUUUUUUUUUUUUCCAGACGGAGUCUCGCUCUGUGUCCCAGGCUGGAGUGCAGUGGCGCGAUCUCGGCUCACUGCAAGCUCCGCCUCCCGGGUUCACGCCAUUCUCCUGCCUCAGCCUCCCGAGUACGCGGGACCACAGGCGCCUGCCAUCAUGCCCGGCUAAUUUUUUUUUGUUUGUUUUUGUUUUUUUGUAUUGUUAGUAGAGACGGGGUUUCACCAUGUUAGCCAGGAUGGUCUUGAUGUCCUGACCUCGUGACCCGCCCGCCUCGGCCUCCCAAAGUGCGAAUGAAAGCUUUAAGAGGGCUGCUUGUUUCUGGCAGCUCUCAGGUUCUUCCUGUCUGCCUCAGAAGUGGCAUAUUCCACAUACGGGCUGCAUCUUCAGUCUGGACUCAUCCUCUUCAAGAUGAGACAGGUGGAGCAGAGCUGCCACCAACCUCCGGUGAUUUCCACACAAUGUGUCCUAGAAGAAGAGACCCUACACUGGGCUUGUGACCAGCGGAAACUGAAUCAAUGCUGGAGACACAUUCUAACAGUCGAAUGGGCAGCUCACAGGAGGUGUUUAAUUAUUAUGAGUCAGCCAACCCAAUUUUGUGAACAAUGCAACACGGACAAGAAUGUUUGAAGGCACCAUGAUAAUGCCAUCCUAUGAGAUUUCUUUUUGAAAAAUUAAUUAGCCUUCAAUUGUUACAUCUUAACUGCCGUCUUCUGUCUCCCUACAAAAUCGUAGUCAUCUCCUACUUACCUACAAUAAGCAAAUUGUGAAUAAUCUCUAUAACCCUAGACUGAGUUGACUAAACAUAGUAUUGAAAAAGUGCCUUAAUAUUAAUUCUUAAAUGUCAAAAGUAUUUCUAAUCAAAUAUAAAAUCCUAGAUAAUUAUUAUUCUCUUGAUUCUCUUGAUGUAGUAACAUGAAAGUUUGAUGGAUGGUUAAUAAUCUUCAUGAGCACUAUGGCAUAGGCCCAUAAUAACAUCAUCUUGUGAUUUACUUUUUCUUACAACAUCACUUGAUUAUUUUAACUGCAAUUCCAUUCAAAUAUCUCUAAACCAGCAUUUCUUCUGUGAUCUCAAAAUGUCAUAGCAUAUCCUGUGCUGGAGAGAGCUGUACUAUUGAUUUAUAACCCCCAAACCUAUGCUGCUAACCAGGAAAUACAAAAGCCUACCAGUAAGUGUCAUGUUCACAAUUCUAGUAAUUUAAUUGUUUAGUUUUGCUACUUAACUUUUUCCUACAAUAUUUUAAACAUUUGGAUGAUAUUAAAUCAUUAGCUGUUUUGCGUGGAUUUUGUAGUUUAUAGAGACACAAUGCAUGGAAAAAAAGUAAAGAUAAAAUUGGAAAUGGGGAAAUUUUAUCUAUAAAAGGAAAGGAAAACUUCUAUGGUCAUUUAAUGAAAUGAACGCAUUAAUAAUUUGUAACUUUCCCACUGCACUGCUAAAUCUUGGCACUAAACAGAAAUGCCAAAUGUAAUGUUUCACAAGCUAUUUUUUCAUAAAUUAUUCAUUCUUUUUACAGUUGGAAAAAAUAUUGUCAUUUAUAUGGAACAAAAAAUGCUAAAAUAAAAACAUCUGGCAAAAAUAGGCCAAUGUGUUAAGAUUUAAGUAGAAGCAUUCCUGCUUAUUGUACACUGCUUUUUCCUCAUGUCAAAUUCUUCAUAUAUUUAUUGUAAAUUGUAGUUUAAGAUAAUAAUACUGCUACAAAAUUAUGGUUUUCUUUGUAUUUUCUUGUGGUAAAGUUUUCUUAUAAUGUUACAGAUUAAUAAAAGACUGAAAGGGCACAUGCAAUGUGAAUAAAUGUUUG